UAUUGAAAUAAACCUGAUGAGUUGCUGCUGGUUUUUUUAACAUGUGCACACUUGUCAUCUUUAUAUCUCCACCUGUGCAUCUUUUGUAGACCUGGACAAGUUUCUUAAUGCUACUUAGCAUUGAGGUUUUGGGAUUGACUUUUGUCUUUCCUUACAUUUCUAGGUCCAUGUUUAUUCAUAUACCCUAUUGUAUGUUAUAGAAUGUAAUAAUUAGGCCUUUGUGCCUAUAACACUAUACAACUUUCAGCAACGGAUCUCUUGGCUCUCGCAUCGAUGAAGAACGCAGCGAAAUGCGAUAAGUAAUGUGAAUUGCAGAAUUCAGUGAAUCAUCGAAUCUUUGAACGCACCUUGCGCUCCUUGGUAUUCCGAGGAGCAUGCCUGUUUGAGUGUCAUUAAACCUUCAACCCCGAUUCAUUUGACUUGGGAGUUUGGACUUGGAGCGUGCUGGCGUGAGUCGGCUCCUCUGAAAUGCAUCAGCGGAAACCAAAUCCUUGGCUUUCUGGAUGUCAGUGUGAUAAUCGUGUUGCGCUGUCGUCCGUAGCUUAGGGUCCGCUUACAAUGGUCUUCGGACGAUUUAUCUCACUUG
rnacentral:misc_RNA from 1 species